AUGCGACUCGUCGGGGGCCUACUCGGCUUCGGCCUCGGCCUCCCCCUCGGGCUCGCCGCCGCCUGCCUCGUCUACCUCCGCUUCUUCGCGCCUCGCCGCCGUCUCCAGGAUCCUGUCGUUAGACCUCUACGAGAUUUAGAUUAUGAGACGUUACAGACGAUGGUACAGGACAUUCCGUUAUGGGUGAAAUAUCCAGACUAUGAACGGAUUGAUUGGAUGAACAAGUUUAUUUGUGAUAUGUGGCCUUUCCUUGAUAAGGCAAUGUGCAAAAUAAUAAGAGGUGUAGCAAAGCCAAUAUGUGAUCAGUAUGUUGGCAAAUAUGGUAUUGAGUCAAUUGAAUUUGGAAACUUAACACUUGGCGCUCUUCCACCUACACUCCAAGGAAUUAAAGUUUAUGAAAUGCGAGAAAAAGAACUGGUAAUCGAACCUGUGAUUCGGUGGGCUAGCAUAGCAAAUGUAACUGUGGAUGUGAAGGUGCAUUCUUUCAAAUUGUCCGCACAGCUUUUGGAUUUGCACGUAAUGCUGACACCACGUGUGACUCUGAAGCCACUUGUGCCAAGCUUUCCCUGCUUUGCCAGCUUGUGUGUAUCACUAAUGGAGAAGCCGCAUGUUGACUUUGGAUUGAAAUUACUGGGUGGAGAUGUCAUGGCAAUUCCUGGCUUGUAUCGGUUUAUCCAGGAGCAAAUAUCAAAGCAAAUUGCAAUCCUGUAUCAUUGGCCUAAGGUUAUAGAAGUUCCCAUUUUAGAUGGAGCAAGUGGUGCUACAAAGAAACCAGUGGGGGUAUUGAAUGUCAAGGUAAUUCGUGCCAUGAAUCUUCCCAAGAUGGACUUGCUUGGGAAAUCUGAUCCCUAUGUCAAGCUUCGGCUGAGUGGCGAGAGACUGCCCUCGAAGAAAACCUCUGUUAAGAUGAGCAACCUGAAUCCUGAAUGGAAUGAACAUUUCAGGCUCGUAGUCAAGGAUCCUGAAACGCAAGUCCUCGAGCUCCAGAUGUUUGAUUGGGAAAAGGUUAAAAUGCAUGAUAAAAUGGGUGUGCAAGUAAUUCCCCUCCGCUUGCUUACCCCUUACGAGAGCAAGCUGUUCACACUAGAUCUUCUCAGAAGCAUGAACCCAAAUGAUCAGCAAAACAAGAAGAAUAGAGGAAAGCUCGUUGUGGAACUGACGUUUGAUCCUUUCAGAGAGGAAAACAGCACGAGUCCUCUGAUUUCAGAUGGUGAAGGCAAUAUCAGUCUAAAAAGGGAUGUCCCGGACGGUGGUGGGGUGCUGUUAGUUUCGGUUGAAAAUGCAGAAGAUGUUGAAGGGAAGCGUCACACUAAUCCGUAUGCCGUGGUUCUUUUUAGGGGUGAAAAGAGGGAAACCAAGGUGAUCAGGAAGGCGAGGGAUCCGAGGUGGAACGAGGAGUUCCAGUUCGUGGUGGACGAGGCCCCCAUGGACGAGAAGAUCCACAUCGAGAUCAGAAGCAGACGCCGCAGGCUCCUCCCGUUCCGCACCCAGGAGUCGCUGGGGCAUGUCAACAUAAACCUGGUGGAUGUGGUGAACAACGGGCGAAUCAACGAGAAGUACCACCUCAUCAACUCCAGGAACGGCAAGCUGCAGCUCGAGAUCAAGUGGAACACUGUCUGA
rnacentral:rRNA from 1 species